rnacentral:rRNA from 1 species
AGUGAACGCUGGCGGUAGGCUUAACACAUGCAAGUCGAACGGCAGCACAGUUAGCGCUUGCCCUUCCGGGUGGUGAGUGGCGGACGGGUGCGGAUUACAUCGGAAUCUCCUUUUUCGAGGGGGAUAACGUCGGGAAACUCACGCUAGUACAGCGUACGAUCUGCGGGUGAAAGCAGGGGCUUUUCGGUCCUUGCGUGGUUGAGCGAGCCGUUGUCGGGUUAGCGAGUUGGCGGGGGAAAGGGCCACUGAGCCGACAGUCAGUAGCUGAUCUGAGAGGCGGAUCAGCCACACUGGGACAGAGACACGAUCCAGACUCCUACGGAAGGAAGCAGUGGGGAAUAUUGGACAAUGGGCGCGAGGCUGAUCCAGCCAUACCGCAUGGGUGAAGAAGGCCUUCGGGUUGUGAAGCCCUUUUGUUGGGAAAGAAAAGCAGCAGGUUAAUACCCCGCUGUACUGACGGUACCCAAAGAAUAAGCACCGGCUAACUUCGUG